rnacentral:lncRNA from 1 species
UUUAUAAAACUAUUUAAAUUUCAUAAACUUUUUAAGACUUACAGGUAGAUUUGUCGUUCUUUCAGGAGUCAAAGAAGCCUUCCUGGUGAGCUGGAAGGGAGAGGCUGGACAGGUUUUCCCUAAGGUCAUACGGCAAUAUUUACAGCCAUGAACAUUCUUGGUGAUGGUGGUGGGACUGAACUCUAAAUCUACCAUCUGGAGCUAACUAUGGAAAAGACAGAAGGCCAAACUUCAAAGGUUAGCCACAUUUAUAAACAUAAUAAUAAAAUUGUACCUUCAACUACAAAGAGUGGAGUGAUAUGGUAUGCCCUUUUGCAUCCUUCAGCUUUGGG